AUACGGAGGGGGCUAGCGUUGUUCGGAAUUAUUGGGCGUAAAGGGCGCGUAGGCGGCCUGGUAAGUCAGUUGUGAAAGCCCUCGGCUCAACCGAGGAAUUGCGACUGAUACUGCCGGGCUUGAGUCCCGGAGAGGGUAGCGGAAUUCCCAGUGUAGCGGUGAAAUGCGUAGAUAUUGGGAGGAACAUCGGUGGCGAAGGCGGCUACCUGGACGGGUACUGACGCUCAGGCGCGAAAGCGUGGGGAGCAAACAGGAUUAGAAACCCUGGUAGUCC
rnacentral:rRNA from 1 species